CCGCCUGAAGCUCCAGUAGGCAGGGAGGUCGCCGCGGUUGAAGGUGACCUAGAGCUUCCUGCUGCUGAAGUGGAUCCUGCGGGUAUUGAGGUGUCCGUGCAAGGAGAAGGAAGAACUGCUUUGGAUGGCAGUAGUCGAUCUUUAUUAGAACAAGCCUCGCUAGGGACCCUUCCACCACUGUCAAGCCCCUAUGCUUGGUGGGAAAACCGUCGCUGAAACUACGAUGAUC
rnacentral:lncRNA from 1 species